AGCGAACGCUGGCGGCAGGCCUAACACAUGCCAGUCGAACGAACUCUUCGGAGUUAGUGGCGGACGGGUGAGUAACACGUGGGAACGUGCCUUUUGGUUCGGAAUAACUCAGGGAAACUUGUGCUAAUACCGAAUGUGCCCUUCGGGGGAAAGAUUUAUCGCCAUUAGAGCGGCCCGCGUCUGAUUAGCUAGUUGGUGAGGUAACGGCUCACCAAGGCGACGAUCAGUAGCUGGUCUGAGAGGAUGACCAGCCACACUGGGACUGAGACACGGCCCAGACUCCUACGGGAGGCAGCAGUGGGGAAUCUUGCGCAAUGGGCGAAAGCCUGACGCAGCCAUGCCGCGUGAAUGAUGAAGGUCCUAGGAUUGUAAAAUUCUUUCACCGGGGACGAUAAUGACGGUACCCGGAGAAGAAGCCCCGGCUAACUUCGUG
rnacentral:rRNA from 1 species